UAUGCACUGUUAAAUCUUUACAGCUCAGGAUAAUAUGACUAUAAUUAAAGAACAUCACUACAAUCUGCUGGCUGGAUCGGUCUUCUGAAUUGAAUUGAAACAGUUUUUAGAACUUUAGAGAUGAUUAACUAAAAUAUGAUGAUAGAAGACAGCACCAUGCUGUAUGAUAGCAUAAACCCUCUAAUGUUGCUCACUAGUUAACAAAGUCACAAACCCUGACCAUUUUUACAUUUUACCAGACGCUCUGUAGUGAGUCAUUCAUUUUCAUACUUUUUUAGUAAUCGAAACCACAACUCUGGCAUUGCAAGCACUAUGCUCUACCAACUGAGCUACAUUCUUAAAAUCAGAUUUAACCCUAAACCACACUUCUAACCUUAUGCCUAACCUUAAACUUAAAUUAAGAUCAGAAAUGUACAUUUUUGUUUUCAUGACAUUUUACGAUAGGCCUAUAGACAAUUUAGACUUUGUGACUGGGUUUUCUAAUAACCAGAGAGGCUGGGGGGAGGAGAUUACUCCAAGUACCUGUGUAAAGGUGAAGGUGAAAGUUGUGUCUCAGUUUAGGCCUGAGGUGUAGAUUGUUCUGUAAAAACGUGUAGAUAUGCACAUAUAGUUACUAUUUGAGUGGUUAUGGAUUUAAAUCAACUAUUUUGAAUGUGAAGUGGAGGAUGUGAAGUCCAGUAAAGGUAAGAGGAGAUGUCAGUAUAUUUCACUUUCCAAACUAGACACAAAAGUCCUGUUUUAAAACAAUGAGGACUGGAGAAAGAGGAAGUGAUGUUUGUAUCUGUGUGAUUGAGCAAAAGAGAGAAUUUGAUGAAUGGUAAUGAUGUAAAUAUGAAUGUUUUCUCUUUUUAUUGCAGUUAAAAUGGCAGAGUCCAACGUUGAUAAUCAGUUUAAACUCACCUCAGAAGACUAUGUGUUUUCUGAUGUUGGUGAAGAGGUCACCCUUCCCUGUCACCUCUCACCUGAUAACAGUGCUGUUGCAUCGACGAUCAGGUGGUUUAAAGAGACAGAGUGUAUUUACCUGUAUCAGAAUGGCCAGGUGACAGAGAGGAGUGGCUAUAAGGGCAGAGUGAGUCUGAUCACCCAGGAGCUGGAUAGAGGCAAUGUGUCUCUGAGGCUGAGAGACUUCAGGAGGCCAGAUAGAGUAGUCUACAUAUGUCAGGUCAUCCAUGGAGAACAGAAGAUGGAGGCUGCAGUGGGUUUAUGGGAGAGAGAAGGUAAGUGUUCUAGAACUCCAGUAAUGUUUCUAAACACAUAAACAACAACAAUAACAACCAGUCUCUUUCCCUGUACAGAACACUUGUACUUUCUCAUGUAGGUAGGAGCUCAUAGUAGGAGUUACAGAUGAAUAGACUAGAUUCAUUCUGAAUAUCAACUAGUUACAAUGCAUAUUACCAUCACUCUGAGCUCUGAGCUGGUCCUAAAGCAUUAGAACCAUUCCAACAUUACUGUCACGUCCCUUGAUUGUCAUUAGUAAUGAAUGUGAUGAACACUCAUACCCCUCUGAUGUAUAUCACAUCACUAUGGUAUAUGAGAGGAUAAUGUGACAGAUGGUGAUUUGAAGGUAAUGAUAAUAACUAUUACAUUCUGUUUUACAUGAUCAUUAUUCAUGACUCUCCAUCUUGGAUAAUGGAUGAUCAGUACGGGGUGAGUAAUUUCUUAUUUGUCUGUUUUGUUUAUUGAAAGAACAGACCAGAGUGUUAAUCUGAUACUAUAAAAACUACAGGCCUUGUGAACAGCAGUGUGUCUUCUUCAAGGCUACAAAUUAAAUCAGUUUCUUUACAUUUAUCAAUACUCUCCCCAAAUGUUCUCAAGGUAGGUUGGAUUAAGAUGUAUAGAUGUUCUUCAAAUUAUCCAGAAUUUUCAUAUCAUAGAUCUCCCACAAUAUAUCUGCCAUAGAGGUCAACAUUUCACAUAGUCCUCCAACAAUAUACAGUUGAAGUCAGAAGUUUACAUACACUUAUGUUGGAGUCAUUAAAACUUGUUUGUCAACCACUCCACACAUUUCUUGUUAACAAACUAUAUUUUUGGCAAGUCGGUUAGGACAUCUACUUUGUGCCUGAUUCAAGUAAUGUUUCCAACAAUUGUUUACAGACAGAUUAUUUAACUUGUAAUUCACUGUAUCACAAUUCCAGUGGGUCAGAAGUUAACAUACACUAAGUUGACUGUGCCCUUAAAUAGCUUGGAAAAUUCAAGAAACGGAUGUCAUGGCUUUAGAAGCUUCUGAUAGGCUAAUUGACAUCAUUUGAGUCAAUUGGAGGUGUACCUGUGGAUGGAUUUCAAGGCCUACUGUCAAACUCAGUGCCUCUUUGCUUGACAUCAUGGAAAAUGAAAAGAAAUCAGCCAAGACCUCAGAGAAAAAAUUGUAGACCUCCACAAGUCUGGUUCAUCCUUGGGAGCAAUUUCCAAACUCCUGAAGGUACCACGUUCAUCUGUACAAACAAUAGUACGCAAGUAUAAACACCAUGGGACCACGCAGCCGUCAUACCACUCAGGAAGGAGACGCUUUCUGUCUCCUAGAGAUGAACGUACUUUGGUGUGAAAAGUGCAAAUCAAUCCCAGAGCAACAGCAAAGGACCUUGUGAAGAUGCUGGAGGAAAGAGGUACAAAAGUAUCUAUAUCCACAGUAAAACGAGUCCUAUAUCGACAUAACCUGAAAGGCCACUUAGCAAGGAAGAAGCCAGUGCUCCAAAACCGCCAUAAAAAAACAGACUACGGUUUGCAACUGCACAUGGGGACAAAGAUUGUACUUUUUGGAGAAAUAUCCUCUGGUCUGAUUAAACAAAAAUAGAACUGUUUAGCCUUGAUGACCAUCGUUAUGUUUGGAAGAAAAAGGGGGAGGCUUGCAAGCCGAAGAACAUCAACCCCAAACGUGAAGCAUUGGGGGUGGCAGCAUCAUAUUGUGGGGGUGCUUUGCUGCUGGAGGGACUGGUGCACUCACAAAAUAGAUGGCAUCAUGAGGUAGGUAAAUUAUGUGGAUAUAUUGAACAUCUCAAGACAUCAGUCAGGAAGUUAAAGCUUGGUCGCAAACGGGUCUUCCAAAUGGACAAUGACCCCAAGCAUACUUCCAAAGUUGUGGCAAAAUGGCUUAAGGACAACAAAGUCAAGGUAUUGGAGUGGCCAUCAAAAAGCCCUGACCUCAAUCCUACAGAAUAUGUGUGGGCAGAACUGAAAGGGUGUGCGAGCAAGGAGGCCUACAAACCUGACUCAGUUACACCAGCUCUGUCAGCAGGAAUGGGCCAAAAUUCACCCAACUUAUUGUGGGAAGCUUGUGGAAGGCUACCCGAAAUGUUUGACCCAACUUAAACAAUUUAAAGGCAAUGCACACAAAUACUAAUUGUGUGUAUGUAAACUUCUGACACACUGACAUCAUAACUGACCUAAAACAGGGCAUUUUUUACCAGGAUUAAAUGUCAGGGAUUGUGAAAAACUGAGUUUAAAUGUAUUUGGCUAAGGUGAAUGAAAAUUUCCGACUUCAACUGUAUCUGCCAUAGAGGUCAACAUUGCACUCCAAAAUGAAAAUAGAAUCAGCUUGAAUUUAUCUUGAUGUCUUAUUAUGAAGCAUUCAGUCAUUCUCAGACUGCUCACAUAGUAGUGCUGCUUACAUCCCUUUCCCUAGAUGUACAUUAGUAAUGAAUGUGAUGAACAGUCAUUCCAAUAUGAUGUAUGGUAUUUCAUUAAAUUAUGACAUGAGACAGAAAUUCAAUGAACAAUAUUAACUAAUGUAUUCUGUUUUACAUGAUCAUUAUUCAUGACUCUCCAUCUUGGAUAAUGGAUGAUCAGAAGAGGGUGAGUAAUUACUUAUUUGUCUGUUUUGUUUAUUGACAAUCAAUAACACAAGACAAAGAACAGACCAGAGUGUUAAUCUGAUACUAUAAAAACUACAGGCCUUGUGAACAGCAGUGUGUCUUCUUCAAGGCUACAAAUUAAAUCAGUUUCUUUACAUUUAUCAAUUCUCUCCCCAAAUGUUCUCAAGGUAAGUUGGAUUAAGAUGUAUAGAUGUUCUUCAAAUUAUCCAGAAUUUUCACAUCAUAAACCUCCCACAAUAUAUAUGCCAUAUAGCUCAACAUUUCACACACCAACAUUUAAAUAGAAUCAGCUUGAAUUUAUCUUGAUGUCUUAUUAUGAAGCAUUCAGUCAUUCUCAGACUGCUCACAUAGUAGUGCUGCUUACAUCCCUUUCCCUAGAUGUACAUUAGUAAUGAAUGUGAUGAACAGUCAUAUCAAUAUGAUGUAUGGUAUUUCAUUAAAUUAUGACAUGAGACAGAAAUUCAAUGAACAAUAAUAACUAAUGUAUUCUGUUUUACAUGAUCAUUAUUCAUGACUCUCCAUCUUGGAUAAUGGAUGAUCAGGAGCAAGACUGGCCUCAGGAUCAGAGUACUUACAACAUGAGACCCAGGAGGACAAGCUGAAGAGGGAGGCAUCAGCUGGUGAGCUUGUUAAAAUGGCAGAGUCCAGAGUUCAUAAACCCAUUUAAUCCAGCCGGACACAAUACGGAAGAAAAUAAACCUUUUGUACUUUGCUGGAUCUAGAGAAGUUAAAGUUGUACAUAUCAACAAAUCAGUUUAAACUCACCUCAAAAGACAAGGUGUGGUCUGAUGUUGGUGAAGAGGUCACCCUCCCCUGUCACCUCCCACCUGACACCAG